CAUUCGCUCUCCAAAUCCCUCUUCUCUCCACCCCUCCUUUUUCCAGGGCCGGCUUCAAGGCAGGCAGCAACCCCAAUUGGCGGCCAAGAAAGGAAGCCAAGCAGGCCGCCCAAAUAGCUCAUGGCUGCCCCUCGUGAGCCGGCCAAGCCCAGCCCAGCUCAGAGCUCGUUCGGCUGCAAACCGCAGCCGCGGCAAGAAGCGGGGAAUGGAGCCGGCCUAGCCGCGUGCGAAAGCCGGCACUCCCUCUUCUCUCCCUCAUGCAGCCGUUUACAUAAACAAGGCGGGAGAGAAGCCAGCAGAACAACACCUUGGCCUAGGCAGGGGGCGGGCGCAGGGAAAUAAAGGCUAGGACAGCACGGGGGCAGCCGCGAGAAUCUACUCUAGACUGACCUAGAGGACAGGCUGGGCAGGCAGCCGGCGAGCGGGAGGCGGCGCUAGGAAGGCUCCCUCUUUCGCACGCACGCUUUAAAUAAACCCAUCCCUCGGCUCCUUCCUUGUUGUAGCAAAACAGGCUGUUUCUCGUGAACGAAUGCUGUGUGCCUCAGUUUCCUGAUAUGCUAGUUCUCUAUAUGCAGGGAUCUUUGUUUGCAUAGAGGAGCAAUUGUAUUAGCCACCGGCUUCAGUCAGAGCCCUACUCCCGUAGGAUUAGCCCUGUAGCGAAAAGGGCAUGAGAAUCUAGCUAGAUUACGUAUGUCACAUGACUAGGCCUUGUAUAAUUUUUUAAAAAACAAACAGCCGAAACGAGGGAAGGGCAAGCUAGAUCAGGACAGCGGGGAGAGGGGGAUUUGCAACUAUUUUUUUUCCCCGGCAGCAGAUCAGAAAUGGGACCCUUGGUCCUUUUGCCUGCUAUUCAUAAUGGGAGGAAAGGUGAACGAAUUUGAAUAGAAAUGGGAGCCUUUAAGACAGUUUGGAAUGAUAAAGUAUAAUAAGAGGAACUAAAGAUCAGAGACUCAUUAAGAAUUCACCAAAUAGUUAACUUACAGUACAAUGGUAUACAUGUCUACUCAGAAGACUCAAGAAGACAACUAUGCAUGCCAUACACAGUUGAAAUUGACAAGUUGUUACAGAAUCACCACACACAGGAAAACCACACAGGAAAUAACAAGAUUAAUAAAACCACUUCAGUGUUCAUUCAUACAAGCAAGAACAAAAAUAACCCUCUGGGGCUGAGAUAUGCUAGACAGUUCCCACAUGCCAGUUUUGGCAUUCCAGUGGAACUCUAUGCUUGGAAUGCAAAAGGCAGCCUAUUCUCCUGAAGGGUAACUCCUUUGACCUGGACAAGCCUUUGAAAUCUAAAUAUGUUUUUCUGUUUUUCCCCUUUUUCUAGAGAUAGGAAGCUUCAGGGACAGCCUUUUGCAGCAUAUAUUUUAUGUGAGAUGAGGGUACUUAAAGUUUUUUUUCUCCAAUAUAUCUGCUCAUCUAUAAAUAUACAUGUUGAGCAGAGUGGAGUGGGCAGACUCCUAGACAGUGCAAGUCUUCAAAGCAGCAUCAGUUUCCCCAAAGCAACACAACAGCGCCUUGGAGCCUGCUAAGGCUCCUCCUUGCCUGCCAACUGCAAAAAUUUAGACCCCUCUCAUUGGCUACAAACUACAAAGCUGUUACCUUCAGCCUUCAUCCAAGUAGAUGUUCAGUAGCUAAUAGCAACCAGACAUGAAAGGGCAUCACUGCUAAUUAAAGCAAAGAUCUUCAGCUAAUGAACAAAAGGUGUAAAAGCUAGAUCUGCUUUCUUCAAUGCCAUUCAUUGUUAUAUCUUAAUUCAUUGGCUGAAAAUCUCAAAGACUGCAACAGAAAGCUUGGGAAUCCAGAGAAUAUGGCUCAUCUGGAGUAAACCCCCUGCAAACACCCACACAUCCAGAAGACUUCAGUUACCAGUGUUUCUUUGGAGUGGAAGCCAUUACAGUUAAUCUGGUAUUGCACCUAUACUUCAGCAUGGUUCAUGGGCCUCCAUGCCUUGGGAGAAAGAUAAGACAAAUGUGAUAGAGGAAUCUCUGAAUAUUUAACAGUAAAAAGUCAUCAGAACAGGCGGACUGAGACAAUUCCUCCACUACUAAAUACAACAAAACUUUACAUUUCUGAUUUAUUCUCUCCCAGACUCUAAGCAACCCAAGAAAAUGGACAAGAUUAAUGAAAGUGUGAGGUCAACCAUCUGUAUAGACCCUUGCCCUUCCUGACUUACUAAGCAGUCAGACUAUCACGUAGUUGGAGACAUUCUGGCUGAGUGCUAGGGAUGUGGGAGAAAUUCAACUCAGUUUGCAGUUAAAGCCAAAUCUAUCAAAUUAGCACUUUCCAAAAGAAUAUUAGAACUGCCAAAUAGCCUUCCUUUGAAAUUCACACCUAUCUGUUUAUUUUAUUUAUUUAUUGGAUUUCUUCGUCGCCCAUCUGGCUGGCUAUCCAGCCACUCUGGGCGACGUACAAAAUAGGCAUACAAAUAUAAUAAACAUUAAAAUCUGAAAACAAUGACGAUAAAAUCUAGCCCACCCCAAAAGCCUGCCUGAAGAGCCAGGUCUUCACGGCCCGGCGGAAACUCAUCAUAGAGGGGGCAUGGCGGAGAUCAUUUGGGAGAGAGUUCCACAGGGUGGGGGCCACAAUUGAAAAAGCCCUCUCUCUAGUCCUCACCAGUCUGGCUGUUUUGACUGAUGGGAUAGAGAGAAGGUCUUUUGAGGCUGAUCUUGUUGGGCGGCAUAGCUGAUGAUGCUGGAGGCGCUCCUUCAGAUAGACUGGGCUGAGACCAUAUAGGGAUUUAAAGGUCAAAACCAACACUUGAAUUGGGCCCGGCAAGCAACUGGUAAUCAGUGCAACUCUUUUAGCACAGGAGUUAUGUGAUCUCGCCGGCGGCUGCCUUUAAUCAGGCGCACCACUGUAUUCUGUACCAGUUGCAGCUUCCAGACCAUUUUCAAGGGUAGCCCCAUGUAGAGCGCAUUACAGUAGUCUAGGCGAGAGGAGGCCAGGGCAUGUACCACUUAUGGGACCAGAUGAUUGGGAAGGUAGGGGCGCAGCCUCCUUAACAGAUGGAGUUGAUACAGUGCUGCCUGGCUCACAGCUGAGACCUGAGCUUCCAUGGACAGUUGGGAGUCAAGAAUUAUCCCGAGGCUGCGGACCUGGUCUUUCAGGGGCAAUUGCACCCCAUUGAGCACCAGGUCCAAAUCCCCUAACAUUAUUAUUAUUGUCUUUAUUUAUACCCCGCCAUUUUUCCAAAACUGGAACUCAUGGCGGCUUCCAGAUAAAAAAUACAUAUAAUUAAAAACAUACAAAGUCUACAUUAAAAUAAGAUUAAACUUAAACCUUCCCUUGUCUCCCACAAACAGUACCUCGGUUUUGUCAGGGUUCAGUUUCAGCUUAUUCCUUCCCAUCCAGCUGCUCACCAACUCCAGGCCCUUGGACAGGGUUUCUACAGCCAACCUCGGGGAAGAUUUAAAUGAGAGAUAGAGCUGCGUGUCAUCCGCAUAUUGGUGACACUGCAGCCCAAAUCUAAUGAUAGUCCCCAGUGACUUUAUAUAGAUGUUAAAUAGCACUGGGGAGAGGAUGGAGCCUUGCAGCACCCCACAGGUGAGAGGCCAAUGAUCUGAAACCUCAUCCCCCAAUGCUACUAUUUGGUGCCUAUCGGAGAUGAAGGAGCAGAGCCACUGCAGUACACUGCCCCCUAUGUCUAAUC